CCUACGGGUGGCAGCAGUGGGGAAUUUUGGACAAUGGGGGCAACCCUGAUCCAGCCAUGCCGCGUGCGGGAAGAAGGCCUUCGGGUUGUAAACCGCUUUUGGUCGGGAAGCGGUACCGGCAGAAUAAGCACCGGCUAACUACGUGCCAGCAGCCGCGGUAAUACGUAGGGUGCGAGCGUUAAUCGGAAUUACUGGGCGUAAAGCGUGCGCAGGCGGUUGGUUAAGUCUGAUGUGAAAGCCCCGGGCUCAACUUGGGAAUGGCAUUGGAAACUGGCUGGCUAGAGUGUGGCAGAGGGGGGUGGAAUUCCGCGUGUAGCAGUGAAAUGCGUAGAGAUGCGGAGGAACACCGAUGGCGAAGGCAGCCCCCUGGGCUAGACUGACGCUCAGGCACGAAAGCGUGGGGAGCAAACAGGAUUAGAUACCCUUGUAGUC
rnacentral:rRNA from 1 species